CUUUGGGAUAACCCUCGGAAACGGGGGCUAGUACCGAAUACGACCUUCUGCCGCAUGGUGGGGGGUGGAAAGCUUUUCGGCCUGGGAUGGGCUCGCGGCCUAUCAGCCUGUUGGUGGGGUGAUGGCCUACCAAGGCGGCGACGGGUAGCCGGCCUGAGAGGGCGACCGGCCACACCGGGACUGAGACACGGCCCAGACUCCUACGGGAGGCAGCAGUGGGGAAUAUUGCACAAUGGGCGGAAGCCUGAUGCAGCGACGCCGCGUGAGGGAUGACGGCCUUCGGGUUGUAAACCUCUUUCAGCAGGGACGAAGCGCAAGUGACGGUACCUGCAGAAGAAGCGCCGGCCAACUACGUGCCAGCAGCCGCGGUAAGACGUAGGGCGCGAGCGUUGUCCGGAUUUAUUGGGCGUAAAGAGCUCGUAGGCGGCUUGUCGCGUCGACCGUGAAAACUUGGGGCUCAACCCCAAGCCUGCGGUCGAUACGGGCAGGCUAGAGUUCGGUAGGGGAGACUGGAAUUCCUGGUGUAGCGGUGAAAUGCGCAGAUAUCAGGAGGAACACCGGUGGCGAAGGCGGGUCUCUGGGCCGAUACUGACGCUGAGGAGCGAAAGCGUGGGGAGCGAACAGGAUUAGAUACCCUGGUAGUCCACGCUGUAAACGUUGGGCGC
rnacentral:rRNA from 1 species